rnacentral:lncRNA from 1 species
CAUUACCUACAUGCCUCUCCACCUUUUCUCCCCACUUUCCUUUUCAUCACCCUGCCUCUUUCCACAGGGAGCCUUCUGGAAAGGAGUCAGCAGUCACUGGGUGUCUCUCCUGCUUCACGUUUCAUUUGCCCCACUCGCUUCCAAGGAGGCAAGCGCUUCUCUUACUCCACUGCGAGUCGCCUUGCAAAGGUCGUUGUCAGACCCCUAAUCACCCGACCCAAAGUGUUGAAGAGAAGGCAGACAAACCCACCAAGGCCCAAGCAGAGUUUUUAAUGCAGCAAAGACUUACGACCUCAGCGUGCUUCGUCAGUAAGCUCCCGGAAGGACACAGAUGCUGUAUGUUGGUUCCACUGAAACUUCCAGAGCCCCUCUCCAGGAUCCUGACUGGCAGAGCCCCUUACAACGUGGUCCGCUUUCCCUGUUUCUACCUGCAGACGAACAUUGCCGCGGAUGGAGGCUGGAACUCUGCCAUGGUGGAGGAGCCAGAAGGCUGCGGCAAAUGAAGGCAUUUGCAUGGUCUCAAAAUGUCAGGAUGGUAUGGAUGUUCCCUCCAAGGACGUGUAUUACACGGACUGCAAAUACACGGACUGCCAUUGUCCCAUUUUCCCAGAGCGGGCUUGAGGUCAGGUAUGUGUGAUUCUUUGGAGUAAAUGUGUCAUAAACUAAAACAUAAUAAUUAUGUGCACAUGUAUACAGUUCAGCCCCAAGAGAUGCGAUGCAGCUGAACUUACGCUUUCAAGGGCAGUUGGAGCAAAGUGACCUCAAACUAGGAAUUAAGAUGCACAGAAGGUCUUUGACUGCAUUUACGUAGUAUGCCUCAAACUGCUCUAUUCAGUCACAUCUAUGGCUCUGAUUCAAAUUGCAAAUUAUCUCAAUAAAUACCUGGCUACACUGGGGAAGCA